rnacentral:rRNA from 1 species
UGGGGAAUAUUGGACAAUGGGGGGAACCCUGAUCCAGCCAUGCCGCGUGUGUGAAGAAGGCCUUAUGGUUGUAAAGCACUUUAAGCGAGGAGGAGGGUACUGGUAUUAAUACUACCAGCUACUGGACGUUACUCGCAGAAUAAGCACCGGCUAACUCUGUGCCAGCAGCCGCGGUAAUACAGAGGGUGCGAGCGUUAAUCGGAUUUACUGGGCGUAAAGCGUGCGUAGGCGGCUAAUUGAGUCGGAUGUGAAAUCCCCGAGCUUAACUUGGGAAUUGCAUUCGAUACUGGUUAGCUAGAGUGUGGGAGAGGAUGGUAGAAUUCCAGGUGUAGCGGUGAAAUGCGUAGAGAUCUGGAGGAAUACCGAUGGCGAAGGCAGUCAUCUGGCCUAACACUGACGCUGAGGUACGAAAGCAUGGGGAGCAAACAGG